AUACUUACCUGGCAGGGGAGAUACCGUGUCCAAGAAGGCGGUUCAUCCAGAGCAAGGCUCAGCCAUUGCACUCCGGCUGUGCUGACCCCUGUGAAUUCCCCAAAUGUGGGAAUCUGGACUGCAUAAUUUCUGGUAGUGGGGGACUGCCCUCA
ensembl:snRNA U1 U1 spliceosomal RNA